GAGUGCUAGACUGCUCCUUUUGUAUUUAGGUGCCCUUUCGCAUGGCUCAUGAACCGGUUUCAGGAGCCGCUUAUGGGCAGCUCAAAACGGCUCACAGGCCAAAACCCCGCAAAAUACAGACGACGGCUUCCACUGCGAGGCAUGAGCUAUUUUUUCAGGCUUAUCGUGGCUCAUCCCUGCCUUGUGCUGCGUAAAGACGCAUGUAUUCAGGUGCGGGUCAGACAGCAGCACCGCUUGAGAGAGAAACCAGGCAGGAAAAAAAGAAAGGAAGGAAGAAGGGCGUGCAACGUGGCCUGGAGAGAGAGAAAAAAGAGAAAGGCUGCAGGAUAGAGAAAAAAGAAUGGAAGAAUCAAAGAAGGAAUGUGAAGGAGAUAGAAAAAAGAAAAAAAAGAAAAAAAAGAAAAGGAGAUAAGGGUACUAUAGACAUUUGACCUUAUAUACAUUCUAAAAUAAGAGAAGAAGUCAUUUUACCAAAUAUUUUUUUUCACAAGUCAAAAAAAAAGUGCUUCACAGAAAAGCUAGAGUUAGAGCCUUUUUUACGAAAGGUAAAACUGUGCCAAACGGGAC
rnacentral:lncRNA from 1 species